AUGAACAUUUGCCUCCCCGAGCUCUACAAACACUGCACAAGAAAGAAGCUCACGGUGGCAGAAGCAAUCGGCGAUGCAAGAUGGACAAGACAUAUCAAAGUAAACCCCUCAGGCCAGGCCAUCCAGGAGUUCACCACACUCUGGGUGCAACUGCAACAUGUGGUGCUGACUGACGAGCCGGACUGGGUGGAAUGGAAAUGGACAGCUGAUGGACGAUUCACGUCGGCAUCAGCGUAUGCGAUUCAAUUCGAGGGAUCGACACGGACUGAAUUCAAACAGAUCAUCUGGAAGGCCGACGCACCCAUGAAGUGCAAAAUAUUCUCCUGGCUGGCGGUGCUAAAUCGAUGCCUCACCGCCGACAACCUGGCCAAACGAGGAUGGCCACAUAAUGCAUCAUGCAGUCUCUGCCAGAGGACGCCGGAGAGCGUAUUUCACCUGCUCGCCUCAUGCUCCUUCACCACGGAGCUUUGGCAGAGGGUGCUAAGCCGGUGCGGUCUACCGGCGACGCUGGCACCAUCCGCAACCGCGGCAAAUCUUCUAGAAUGGUGGGAUCAAAGCCGGUCCAGGGUGCCGAGGGACCAUAGACGUGGAUGGAGCUCGCUGGUGCAGUUGGUCUGGUGGACGGCAUGGAAAGAGCGAAAUGCGCGGAUCUUUGAUAACAAGUUCUCGACGGGGAUGUAG
rnacentral:rRNA from 1 species